UACGGGGGGGGCAAGCGUUGUUCGGAAUUACUGGGCGUAAAGGGUUUGUAGGUGGCCCGCUAAGUCACACGUGAAAUCCCUCAGCUUAACUGGGGAACUGCGUGUGAGACUGGCAGGCUCGAGGGCAGGAGAGGAACGCGGAAUUCCAGGUGUAGCGGUGAAAUGCGUAGAUAUCUGGAGGAACACCGGUGGCGAAGGCGGCGUUCUGGGACGGUACUGACGCUGAGGCGCGAAAGCGUGGGGAGCAAACAGG
rnacentral:rRNA from 1 species